rnacentral:rRNA from 1 species
UAACGAAUCUUCCGCAAUGGGCGCAAGCCUGACGGAGCAAUGCCGCGUGUGGGAUGAAGCGUCUCUGACGUGUAAACCACUGUCAGGGGUUAGAAACAAUGAUCAACCCCCAAAGGAAGUGGCGACUAACUCUGUGCCAGCAGUCGCGGUAAUACAGAGGCCACAAGCGUUAGUCGGAAUCACUGGGCUUAAAGGGUGCGUAGGCUGGUCCGCAAGCGUCUUGUGAAAGCCCUCGGCUCAACCGAGGAACAGCAGGGCGAACUGCGGAUCUUGAGGCAGGUAGGGGUCGCGAGAACAGUAGGUGGAGCGGUGAAAUGCGUAGAUAUCUACUGGAAUGCCGAUGGUGAAGACGCGCGACUGGGCCUGUCCUGACGCUGAGGCACGAAAGCGUGGGGAGCAAACAGGAUUAGAUACCCCCGUAGUCCCUGAGCGGGCUGGCAAGGCGCAU